GACAAAAUAAGAAAAAAAAAGUUUGUGAAACUUUACUCUCUGAGAGAGAAUCGGUCAUGGCUGAGAGCGAGAGCCUCAAAGCUCUACAACUACAACAAAACAAACGACAUAGUAAGGAACAAAACGACAACAAUCUUGAAGUAGAAGGAGAAUUAGAAGACGAAGAAGGGGAAGAAGACAUCGAUGACGAUGACGACGACGACGACGAAGAAGAAGAAGAAGAAGAAGAAGA
rnacentral:misc_RNA from 1 species